rnacentral:rRNA from 1 species
GGACUACACGGGUAUCUAAUCCUGUUUGCUCCCCUAGCUUUCGCGCCUUAGCGUCAGGUCUAAACUCGAAAACCGCUUUCGCCACAGGUGUUCUUCCACAUAUCUACGCAUUUCACCGCUACUUGUGGAAUUCCGUUUUCUCCGUCCAUCCUCUAGUAAAAUAGUUUCAUAUGCUGUUCCGGGGUUGAGCCCCGGGAUUUCACAUCUGACUUAUCUCACCGCCUACGCGCCCUUUACGCCCAGUAAAUCCGAUUAAUGCUCGCACCCUCCGUAUUACCGCGGCUGCUGGCAC